GGGGAAGAUUUAAUAAUAAUAAAUUAAUAAUAAAAAAAUUUUUAAAAUAUAUUUUAAUGGGGGUUAAAGUAAUUUUUUAAAAAAAAUUUAUAAAUUUAUAGUUAAGUAGUAUUGUAUAAGAAUGUUGAAAUAAUUGAAAAUUUAAUUAUAAUUAAAGUAAAUUUAAUUUAUUGUAUCUUGUGUAUCAGAGUUUAUUAAUAAAAAUUUUUAAGUAAAUAAAUCUCGAAUUUUAAAAGAGAUAAUUAAUUAAAAAAGUUAUUGUUUCAUAAAUAUUUUAAAUAAUUAAUUUGAAAUGAAAUGUUAAUCGUUUUUAAAGAUAUCUAGUUUUUUUUAGAAAUAAAUUUAAUUUAGAAUUUUUUUUAAGAUAUUUAAUUUUUAAAUUAAAUAUCUUAAAAAAAAAUUUAAUAUUUUAGGGGAUAAUCUUUAAAUUAAAUUUUUAUAAUUAUAUAAAAUGAAAAUUAAAAUUUUUAAAAUUUAUAUUGUUUAUAAAUUAUAUAUUUUUAUAAAAAAUUUUAUUUAUAAAAAAAUUUUUAAAAUAAAAAUUUAAUUUUUUAUAAAAAAAUAAUUUUAUUAAAAAAAAAAUUAGUUAUAAUGAUAAAAUUAGUAUAUAAUAUAUAUAUAUAUAUAUAUAUAUAUUUAAAUAAUUAAUUAAAAGGAAUUCGGCAAAUAUUAAUAUUCACUUGUUUAUCAAAAACAUGUCUUUUUGUUAAAAAUUUAAAGUCUAAUCUGCCCACUGAUAUUAAUUAAAGGGCUGCAGUAUAUUGACUGUACAAAGGUAGCAUAAUCAUUAGUCUUUUAAUUGAAGACUUGUAUGAAAGAUUUGAUGAAAUAUUAACUGUCUCUUAAUUAAAAUUAAAAUUUAAUUUUUUAGUAAAAAAGCUAAAAUAUAUUUAAAAGACGAGAAGACCCUAUAGAGUUUUAUUAUUAAUUUAUUUUUAAUAUUAAAUAAAUUUUUUUUUUUAUAAAUAUAAAUUAAUAAUUUUAUUGGGGUGAUAAAAAAAUUAAAUAAACUUUUUUAAAUAACUAAAACAUUAAUGUAUGAAUUUUUGAUCCAUAAUUUAUGAUUAAUAGAAAAAAUUACCUUAGGGAUAACAGCGUAAUUUUUUUUUUUAGUUCAAAUAAAAAAAAAAGUUUGCGACCUCGAUGUUGGAUUAAGAUAAAAUUUAAAUGUAGAAAUUUAAAAUUUUGAUCUGUUCGAUCAUUAAAAUCUUACAUGAUCUGAGUUCAAACCGGUGUAAGCCAGGUUGGUUUCUAUCUUUAAAAAAUUAGAAUAUUUUAGUACGAAAGGAUUAAAUAUUUAAAAUAAUUUUAAGUUAAAAGAAUAUUAUUAAAUUAUAAUAAAAAUUAAUAAAUUAAAUUU
rnacentral:rRNA from 1 species